rnacentral:rRNA from 1 species
UCUGGCGGCGAGUGGCGGACGGGUGAGUAAUGCAUAGGAAUCUGCCUUAAAGUGGGGGACAACCCGGGGAAACCCGGGCUAAUACCGCAUAAUACCUUCGGGUCAAAGUCUUCGGACGCUUUGAGAUGAGCCUGUGUUGGAUUAGCUUGUUGGUGAGGUAAAGGCUCACCAAGGCGAUGAUCCAUAGCUGGUCUGAGAGGACGAUCAGCCACACUGGGACUGAGACACGGCCCAGACUCC